rnacentral:rRNA from 1 species
UCGAGGAUCUUCGUCAAUGGGCGAAAGCCUAAACGAGCGACGCCGCGUGCGCGAUGAAGGCCUUCGGGUUGUAAAGCGCGAAAGUGGGGAGAAAGCCGCAAGGUUGAUCAACUCACAGUAAGGACGGGCUAAGUUCGUGCCAGCAGCCGCGGUAAGACGAACUGUCCUAACGUUGUUCGGAAUCACUGGGCUUAAAGGGCGCGUAGGCGGUCGACCAAGUCAGGGGUGAAAUCCUGCAGCUUAACUGUAGAAGUGCCUUUGAUACUGGUCGUCUGGAGGGAGGUAGGGGUGUGUGGAACUUCCAGUGGAGCGGUGAAAUGCGUUGAUAUUGGAAGGAACGCCGGAGGCGAAAGCGACGCACUGGACCUCUUCUGACGCUGAGGCGCGAAAGCUAGGGGAGCAAACGG